CCUACGGGUGGCAGCAGUGAGGAAUAUUGGGCAAUGGUCGGGAGACGGAACAAGCAAAGCCGCGGGAGUGAAGAAGUAGUUCGGGACGGAAAGCUCUAUCAGCAGGGAAGAAAAUGACGGUACCUGACGAAGAAGCCCCGGCUAACUACGUGCCAGCAGCCGCGGUAAUACGUAGGGGGCAAGCGUUAUCCGGAUUUACUGGGUGUAAAGGGAGCGGAGACGGCAGCGCAAGUCUGGAGUGAAAUCCCAUGGCUUAACCAUGGAACUGCUUGGGAAACUGUGCAGCUGGAGUGCAGGAGAGGUACGCGGAAUUCCUCGUGUAGCGGUGUACUGCGUAGAUAUUAGGA
rnacentral:rRNA from 1 species